GCAUCAUGAUUUAGCCAGCAAACCUGAGCGAAGAGAACUUUAGUUCAGGCCCCCGAAACUAGACGAGCUACUCCGGGACAGCCUAUUAUAGGGCUAACCCGUCUCUGUGGCAAAAGAGUGGGACGAGCCCCGAGUAGAGGUGAUAAACCUAUCGAGCCUAGUUAUAGCUGGUUGCUUAGGAAAUGAAUAGAAGUUCAGCCCCCCGGCUUUCUUAGGACCUUAAAGUAAAACUAAUAUUGUCCCAAAGAAACCAGAAGAGUUAGUCAAAGGAGGUACAGCUCCUUUGAACAAGGACACAACCUUAACAGGCGGCUAAGGAUCAUAAUUAAUAAGGUAACCUGUUACAGUGGGCCUAAGAGCAGCCACCUGCACAGAAAGCGUUAAAGCUCAGACAGAUAUAAACCUCUUAUCCUGAUAACAAAUCCCACCCCCCUAACCGUACUAAGCCGUUCCAUGCCUCCAUGGAAGAGAUUAUGCUAGAAUGAGUAAUAAGAGAGAACAACUCUCUCCCAGCACAUGUGUAAGUCGGAUCGGACCCACCACCGACAAAUAACGAACCCAAACCAAGAGGGGACUGUAGGCCAGAAUAAACACCGAGGAAAAUCUACACCAACGAAUCGUUAACCCCACACAGGAGUGCCCCCAGGGAAAGACCCAAAGGAAGAGAAGGAACUCGGCAAACACAAGCCUCGCCUGUUUACCAAAAACAUCGCCUCUUGCAAAUCAAAGCAUAAGAGGUCCCGCCUGCCCUGUGACUAUGGGUUUAACGGCCGCGGUAUUUUGACCGUGCGAAGGUAGCGCAAUCACUUGUCUUUUAAAUGAAGACCUGUAUGAAUGGCAUCACGAGGGCUUAGCUGUCUCCUCUUCCAAGUCAAUGAAAUUGAUCUGUCCGUGCAGAAGCGGACAUAAGCACAUAAGACGAGAAGACCCUAUGGAGCUUUAGACACCAGGCAGAUCACGUCAAACAACCUUAAAUUAACAAGUAAAAACGCAGUGACCCCUAGCCCAUAUGUCUUUGGUUGGGGCGACCGCGGGGGAAAAUUAAGCCCCCAUGUGGACUGGGGGCACUGCCCCCACAGCCAAGAGCUACAGCUCUAAGCACCAGAAUAUCUGACCAAAAAUGAUCCGGCAAACGCCGAUCAACGGACCGAGUUACCCUAGGGAUAACAGCGCAAUCCUCUCCCAGAGUCCCUAUCGACGAGGGGGUUUACGACCUCGAUGUUGGAUCAGGACAUCCUAAUGGUGCAGCCGCUA
rnacentral:rRNA from 1 species